rfam:Eutrema salsugineum unplaced genomic scaffold scaffold_205, whole genome shotgun sequence.
UAUCCAUGGUGUGGAAAAUUUCUUUAGUAUUCCCUAAAUCUUUCCCAAGUAUCUAAAAGAUCUUCAUCUUCUUUUUGUUUAUAAGUUCUUAUCUUGUUUCUUAAGACA